rnacentral:pre_miRNA from 1 species
UCUUCAUUUCGCACACUCUCUCGCCUCUCUGACCGGCGAGAGAGUGUGCGAAAUGGAGAGA